rnacentral:rRNA from 1 species
GACGAACGCUGGCGGCGUGCUUAACACAUGCAAGUCGAGCGGUAAGGCCCUUUCGGGGUACGACGAGCGGCGAACGGGUGAGUAACACGUGGGUGACCUGCCCUCAGCUCUGGGAUAAGCCUGGGAAACCGGGUCUAAUACUGGAUAUGACUCCAUGACGCAUGUUGUGGGGUGGAAAGCCUUGUGCGGCUGAGGAUGGGCCCGCGGCCUAUCAGCUUGUUGGUGGGGUGAGGCCUACCAAGGCGACGACGGGUAG